rnacentral:siRNA from 1 species
AUCAAAGUCGGGUGUCAACUAAA